rnacentral:rRNA from 1 species
AUUGAACGCUGGCGGAAUGCUUUACACAUGCAAGUCGAACGGUAGAGGGGGCAACCCCUCGAGAGUGGCGAACGGGUGAGUAAUAUAUCGGAACGUGCCCAGUCGUGGGGGAUAACGUAGCGAAAGUUACGCUAAUACCGCAUACGAACUAAGGAUGAAAGCGGGGGAUCGAAAGACCUCGCGCGAUUGGAGCGGCCGAUAUCAGAUUAGGUAGUUGGGGGGGUAAAGGCUCACCAAGCCAACGAUCUGUAGCUGGUCUGAGAGGACGACCAGCCACACUGGAACUGAGACACGGUCCAGACUCCUACGGGAGGCAGCAGUGGGGAAUUUUGGACAAUGGACGCAAGUCUGAUCCAGCCAUUCCGCGUGCAGGAUGAAGGCCCUCGGGUUGUAAACUGCUUUUGUACGGAACGAAAAGGUCUCUCUUAAUACGGGGGGCUCAUGACGGUACCGUAAGAAUAAGCACCGGCUAACUACGUGCCAGCAGCCGCCGAA